AUGAAGGAAAAUGAAAAGUUUUAUUUCACUUAGUAAGAGACAUCUUAAUUACCACUGGCUAUAUUUGGUUAUCACACAGCAGAAUAACAAAGAUGUAUAUUAAUGACGUCUGUUUAAUUUUCUUAGCCAUGGGGAACUGUGAGUCAGUUAAACCUCUUUUCUUUCUAAAUUACCCAGUCACAAUUAUUUCUUCAUAGUGAUAGUGACAGGAGGCAGACAAAUGCCUAAGCAGAUAGGGGUGGGUCCCUGGUGAAACCCAACCUUCAAGCCGAAGACAGUCCCAGGUAAAUUCUCAGACCAGAUCAAAAACCUUUCUUCCCAUUUGGUGCACUUUCCUCUGAUGGAUCCCACCCUUCACCUAUUUUACAUAUACCUACCCUUCCCUGAUUGUUUUUUUUUUACACUGUUGUGCCCAUCUUUGAGUGGUAACUUUGUUUUAAUUUUUAUUUGCAUACUCACAAACCAAUCAGCAUGCACUCACCUAUUCUGAGCCCAUAAAAGCCCUGGACUCAGCCACACUGGGAGAGAAACCAACAGACUACAGGGUUGCGGGACCACCCCACAUCCCCUUUUUGCUGAGAGUUGUUCCAUCGCUCAAUAAAAUUAUUCUCUGUCCUCCUCACCCUUUGAAUCAUCAGCAUAUCCUCAUUCUUCUUGGUUGCAGAACAAGAGGUUGGGAACCACUGUAUGCUGGUACAAGCUAUAACGCAGGUGGACCAAGUGAGUGGGGCACCUCCAGCAGUAGGCCUGCGGCCCAGCAAGGCCCAGGCUGGGGGUGGAGGUUGGGGCGUCACUGGCCAUGGAGGUCCCUGGGU
rnacentral:lncRNA from 1 species